GCCUUUAAGUGAUCUCGUUCCCUAGGCACUCUCUGAUGUCACAUAUUACUUACAAGCAAUUAUACAGACAAUAGAGACUCAGAGAACUGCUAAACUUUUAUUCAAGAGAGGACAAAUUAUGACAGAAAAAACGAGUGAAACAGAAAUGGAGUAAAGAAAAUACAUUUGACUACCUCCCUUCAAGAGACGAGGAAGGGGGUGCGCGGACAGUACUUUCAUCAGGUGGAAGUGAGGAUCUUACACAAGUCAUGAAAUAUACACGAAGUUACUGUAGCAUAAAGCUAACCUUUGACAGCUAAAUUUAGCCAUACAGAUGAUUAUUGUAUAAUAUAUUUCAUGAAAACCUGGAAAGGUUGUAGCUUAAAAUGGCUUGCCGAAUUCUU
rnacentral:misc_RNA from 1 species